rfam:Salmo salar isolate Sally breed double haploid chromosome ssa22, whole genome shotgun sequence.
UGGCUCAGUUCUUAGAGCAUGGUGUUUGCAACGCCAGGGUUGUGGGUUCGAUUCCCAC